rnacentral:rRNA from 1 species
AGCACGGGUGCUUGCACCUGGUGGCGAGUGGCGAACGGGUGAGUAAUAUAUUGGAACGUACCCGGCAAUGGGGGAUAACGUAGUGAAAGUUACGCUAAUACCGCGCAUGCCCUGAGGGGGAAAGCGGGGGAUCGAAAGACCUCGCGUUGUCGGAGCGGCCGAUAUCGGAUUAGCUAGUUGGUGGGGUAAAGGCCUACCAAGGCGACGAUCCGUAGCUGGUCUGAGGGGACGACCAGCCACACUGGGACUGAGACACGGCCCAGACUCCUACGGGAGGCAGCAGUGGGGAAUUUUGGACAAUGGGGGAAACCCUGAUCCAGCCAUGCCGCGUGAGUGAAGAAGGCCUUCGGGUUGUAAAGCUCUUUCGGACAGAAAGAAAUCGCAUCUACUAAUACUAGGUGUGGAUGACGGUACUGUAAGAAGAAGCACCGGCUAACUACGUGCCAGCAGCCGCGGUAAUACGUAGGGUGCGAGCGUUAAUCGGAAUUACUGGGCGUAAAGCGUGCGCAGGCGGUUUCGUAAGACAGAUGUGAAAUCCCCGGGCUUAACCUGGGAACUGCAUUUGUGACUGCGAGACUAGAGUGUGGCAGAGGGGGGUAGAAUUCCACGUGUAGCAGUGAAAUGCGUAGAGAUGUGGAGGAAUACCGAUGGCGAAGGCAGCCCCCUGGGCCAACACUGACGCUCAUGCACGAAAGCGUGGGGAGCAAACAGGAUUAGAUACCCUGGUAGUCCACGCCCUAAACGAUGUCAACUAGUUGUUGGGGAAGGAGACUUCCUUAGUAACGCAGCUAACGCGUGAAGUUGACCGCCUGGGGAGUACGGUCGCAAGAUUAAAACUCAAAGGAAUUGACGGGGACCCGCACAAGCGGUGGAUUAUGUGGAUUAAUUCGAUGCAACGCGAAAAACCUUACCUACCCUUGACAUGCCAGGAACUUUCCAGAGAUGGAUUGGUGCCCGAAAGGGAACCUGGACACAGGUGCUGCAUGGCUGUCGUCCGCUCGUGUCGUGAGAUGUUGGGUUAAGUCCCGCAACGAGCGCAACCCUUGCCAUUAAUUGCCAUCAUUCAGUUGGGCACUUUAAUGGGACUGCCGGUGAUAAACCGGAGGAAGGUGGGGAUGACGUCAAGUCUUCAUGGCCCUUAUGGGUAGGGCUUCACACGUAAUACAAUGGUC